AACUGGUGAGUAACACGUGGGAAACCUGCCCAGAAGCGGGGGAUAACACCUGGAAACAGAUGCUAAUACCGCAUAACAACUUGGACCGCAUGGUCCGAGUUUGAAAGAUGGCUUCGGCUAUCACUUUUGGAUGGUCCCGCGGCGUAUUAGCUAGAUGGUGGGGUAACGGCUCACCAUGGCAAUGAUACGUAGCCGACCUGAGAGGGUAAUCGGCCACAUUGGGACUGAGACACGGCCCAAACUCCUACGGGAGGCAGCAGUAGGGAAUCUUCCACAAUGGACGAAAGUCUGAUGGAGCAACGCCGCGUGAGUGAAGAAGGGUUUCGGCUCGUAAAACUCUGUUGUUAAAGAAGAACAUAUCUGAGAGUAACUGUUCAGGUAUUGACGGUAUUUAACCAGAAAGCCACGGCUAACUACGUGCCAGCAGCCGCGGUAAUACGUAGGUGGCAAGCGUUGUCCGGAUUUAUUGGGCGUAAAGCGAGCGCAGGCGGUUUUUUAAGUCUGAUGUGAAAGCCUUCGGCUCAACCGAAGAAGUGCAUCGGAAACUGGGAAACUUGAGUGCAGAAGAGGACAGUGGAACUCCAUGUGUAGCGGUGAAAUGCGUAGAUAUAUGGAAGAACACCAGUGGCGAAGGCGGCUGUCUGGUCUGUAACUGACGCUGAGGCUCGAAAGUAUGGGUAGCAAACAGGAUUAGAUACCCUGGUAGUCCAUACCGUAAACGAUGAAUGCUAAGUGGUUGGAAGGGUUUCCGCCCUUCAGUGCUGCAGCUAACGCAUAAGC
rnacentral:rRNA from 1 species